GUGAUGCUGUCGGGGCCCGGCUAGCCCCAGAGCAGCCUCCGGCUCCCCAUAUUCUUGCCCCAAAAUGGCUACUGCCAUUCCCUUCACACAGGAGGACACUAUAACGCAGCACGAUUUGAUUUUUUGCCCAGCGUCCUGCGAGCAGAAAGCGGCAGAGCCAAGAUUUGAACCAGGUUUAUCUGGACCCAAAACCAUGGCUUCUGGAAGCUGAAUUAGAGGGUUAGGUCUGUGAGAUCCAGUGCUGAGUUGAUCUGCAGGAUAAUCACAUUUUGUGGACGUGUGUGGUGUGUGUGUGUACACGGCAUGUGGUUUAUGUGUGGCGCGGGUGGACUGAGGUAUGGAUGUGUUAUGUGGAGUGUGAGAAGUGUAUGUGUGGUGCAUACGUGGUAUGUGUGUGGUAGAUGGCGGGUAAUGCAGCGCGUCGUGUGCUGUGUGUGUGGUGCGGUACAUGUGUCACAUGUGGUGUGGAGUGUGUGUACAGUGUGUGUGUGACGCGUAGCGUGGGAGGUGUGUGCUGCAUGGUGUGCAGUGCAGUGUGUCCUAUGUGGUGUGUGUGCGUGUGGUGUGGUAUAUGUGGCGCGUGUGGUGGGUGCGUGUGGUGGGUGCAUGUGGCCCGUGUGGUGUGGCGUGUGUGGUGGGUGCAUGUGGUAUGGCCCGUGUGGUGGGUGCGUGUGGCCCGUGUGGUGUGGCGCAUGUGGCGCAUGUGGUGUGGCCCGUGUGGUGGGUGCGUGUGGCCCGUGUGGUGUGGCGCGUGUGGUGGGUGCAUGUGGUGGGUGCGUGUGGCCUGUGGGGUGGGCGUGCGUGGCGCAUGCGUCCUAGGGACAGUCUUCAAUCUACCCGCUUGGAAAGCUCAAGCCGCAGGGGCUUCUGGGAAGCACUUGGCUUUGGAACCGGGCAAAGGUCCGUGGAGCAGCCCAGCCGAGGCCCAGCCCUGCCGCGGCCGUGACAGACAAGCGACCUGCUGGGAGUCUGCGCCUCGUGCGUCAAAGAGGGUGAAGGAAGGUCCGCCGAGCGCCUGGNCCGAGGCCCAGCCCUGCCCGGCCCAGCCCUGCCGCGGCCGUGACAGACAAGCGACCUGCUGGCAGUCUGCGCCUCGUGCGUCAAAGAGGGUGAAGGAAGGUCCGCCGAGCGCCUGGCGGUCGCCGGCCCGUGUCCCUCCCGUCGGCUCCCGGUGGCCGCACCUCCCGCCGCCUCGGCGCACCCGGACUACACGCCGUGCCUGGCCUCGGGGCUGCCCAGCGCGUGGGCCGGAGCGAGCUGCAGCCUGCGGCAGGGUUUCCAAAUUGUACAUGCUUUGGGCAUCACAAGCCUGGACCCACCACGGCCUGCCUACCUCCUUUCGGAAACACAAUCUCUGAAUUCAGCACCAACACUGAGCACCAAAGUCUACUUUUGGAACCCGAGCUUCCCAGAGACAGCCAACUGCACAGAGGCCCAGAGCCAGUGAGAAGCCAUAAGCCUCUUGAGUCAGCCCUGGAACAUCCAGCCCUUGACCGUGAUGAACAUGUAAGGUGAACAUUCUGCCUCAGUGCUGAGCAAUGGCAGAAGGCGGUCACCACACCGUCUGACGCAGCUCUGCCUUCCACCCCUUUCGAAGCCUGACACCCAGUGGGUGCUUGGACGCUUGUGGAAUUCUUGUCAUGGACAAAACAUUGAGCUAAAUUUGAACUCCAGUCUGGUGCGGGUGUGCGCUCAAGUCUUUUUAAGACUGUCUUCGGGCUAUAAAAAACAAAAUAAAUG
ensembl:lncRNA